AUAAACUUUUGACACAAAAAAUCCAAAACGUCAUAAAAUAUUUGGGAGGAGCCACUGAGGAAAUAAAGUAAGACACAGUGUUGGUUAAAAGAAUCAAAAGAGCAACAGAAAUAAGGAGAGGAUAAUUUACACGGAAGAAAGGGAGCUCCGUGAUGACGAUUACCUUUGUAUGUCCAAAGUAACCAAUCUAUUUCUUCAGAGCAACCAUAUUUCAUUGGGAGCAUUGUAGUGAUGGCACGAUGCAUUGGUAGCCAAGGCAAUGUUGGAACAAUCCAAUUCAAGAGCACUGAAUUGUGUUCGAUCAUGAACUAAUUUUUCUUUUAACAUUAAUCAAUAACGCCAACACCCUGAUUUGUUCUUAUUUUGUAUUUUCCGUUUUAGUUGGUGAAGCCUACGAGACAUUUCUCAUUGAAGAAUGCCCUGUGCAUGACCCACCAGUCUUUAUGAAGGAACGUGUCGUUUAUUCCAAUCACUCACAUAGAGCACUCUUCCAGAGGGUCUCAGCAUUGCCCGUCCAAAAUUUGUA